rnacentral:rRNA from 1 species
AUUGAACGCUGGCGGAAUGCUUUACACAUGCAAGUCGAACGGCAGCACGGGGGCAACCCUGGUGGCGAGUGGCGAACGGGUGAGUAAUACAUCGGAACGUGCCCAGUCGUGGGGGAUAACGUAGCGAAAGUUACGCUAAUACCGCAUACGAUCUACGGAUGAAAGCGGGGGACCGUAAGGCCUCGCGCGAUUGGAGCGGCCGAUGUCAGAUUAGGUAGAUGGUGAGGUAAAGGCUCACCAAGCCGACGAUCUGUAGCUGGUCUGAGAGGACGACCAGCCACACUGGGACUGAGACACGGGCCAGACUCCUACGGGAGGCAGCAGUGGGGAAGUUUGGACAAUGGGCGAAAGCCUGAUCCAGCCAUUCCGCGUGCAGGACGAAGGCCUUCGGGUUGUAAACUGCUUUUGUACGGAACGAAAAGGCUCUGGUUAAUACCUGGGGCUCAUGACGGUACUGUAAGAAUAAGCACCGGCUAACUACGUGCCAGCCGCCGCAGUAA